CCGACACAGGUGGAUGAGGAGAGAAUCCUAAGGCCGGCGGGAGAAGCAUUGUUAAGGAACUCGGCAAAAUGACCCCGUAACUUCGGGAGAAGGGGUGCUCCAGAGAUGGAGCCGCAGAGAACUGGCCCAAGCAACUGUUUAGCAAAAACACAGGUCUAUGCAAAACCGAAAGGUGAGGUAUAUGGGCUGACGCCUGCCCGGUGCUGGAAGGUUAAGAGGAGAUGUUAAUCGCAAGGUGAAGCAUUGAAUUUAAGCCCCAGUAAACGGCGGCCGUAACUAUAACGGUCCUAAGGUAGCGAAAUUCCUUGUCGGGUAAGUUCCGACCCGCACGAAAGGCGUAAUGAUUUGGGCACUGUCUCGACAAUGCACCCGGUGAAAUUGAAAUACCAGUGAAGAUGCUGGUUACCUGCGCCAGGACGGAAAGACCCCAUGGAGCUUUACUCUAGCUUGAUACUGGGGUUCGGUAUUGCAUGUACAGGAUAGGUGGGAGACUGAGAAGAUGUGUCGCCAGAUGCAUCAGAGUCGAUGUUGGGAUACCACCCCUGCAGUACUGGGCUUCUAACCUGCAGCCGUGACCCGGCUGGGGGACAAUGUCAGGUGGGGAGUUUGACUGGGGCGGUCGCCUCCGAAAGAGUAUCGGAGGCGCUCAAAGGUUCCCUCAGAAUGGUUGGAAACCAUUCGAAGAGCGCAAAGGCAGAAGGGAGCUUGACUGCGACACCGACGGGUGGAGCAGGUACGAAAGUAGGACUUAGUGAUCCGGUGGUAUGAAAGUGGGAUUGCCAUCGCUCAACGGAUAAAAGCUACCCUGGGGAUAACAGGCUUAUCACUCCCAAGAGUUCACAUCGACGGAGUGGUUUGGCACCUCGAUGUCGGCUCAUCGCAUCCUGGGGCUGUAGUAGGUCCCAAGGGUUGGGCUGUUCGCCCAUUAAAGCGGUACGCGAGCUGGGUUCAGAACGUCGUGAGACAGUUCGGUCCCUAUCCGGCGUGGGCGUAGGAUAUCUGAGAGGAGCUGUCCUUAGUACGAGAGGACCGGGAUGGACUGACCUCUGGUGCACCGGUUGCAUUGCCAAAUGCAUAGCCGGGUAGCCAAGUCGGGACGGGAUAAACGCUGAAGGCAUCUAAGCGUGAAGCCCCCCUCAAGAUGAGAUAUCCCAUAACGUAAGUUAGUAAGACCCCUUGAAGACGACGAGGUAGAUAGGCAGAAGGUGGAAGUGUGGUGACAUAUGGAGCUGAUCUGUACUAAUAGGUCGAGGGCUUAACCAA
rnacentral:rRNA from 1 species